rnacentral:rRNA from 1 species
UACGUAGGGAGCGAGCGUUGUCCGGAAUUACUGGGUGUAAAGGGAGCGUAGGCGGGAUCGCAAGUCAGAUGUGAAAACUAUGGGCUUAACCCAUAAACUGCAUUUGAAACUGUGGUUCUUGAGUGAAGUAGAGGCAAGCGGAAUUCCGAGUGUAGCGGUGAAAUGCGUAGAUAUUCGGAGGAACACCAGUGGCGAAGGCGGCUUGCUGGGCUCUAACUGACGCUGAGGCUCGAAAGCGUGGGGAGCAAACAGG